CAAAGUCAAGCCAUCAUCCGGCUUGCUCAUGGACAAGCACCAGCUCUUUGUCUUCAAGGUCAUACCAAAGGUCAAGGACAAGACUUUAAGACAUCAAUUCCGCUGCAGGCUCAAUGAUUCAGACAAGCACAUCCAGGAAAUAGACUGUCUGGGGUCAUCAGAACAACCAAGAGUAUUGCUUGAUACUGAGAGUUCUGCUUGCAAGCCUUGCCCAAGAGCCAAGGUCAAAAUGCAGAUGUCAUGACCUUUACCCAUUCUGCACCUGUAUUUCUGAUGUAGAUCUCUUCUUCCCCAAAAGCAGUCUCCUUACACAGUCAACACAGUUUGGAUAUUGAUUGUAGACUGAACCGGAUUAAUGUUUCCAAAUUGGAAGAGGUCAACAGAGCAAUCUUCGUCUCAUCAAUCUCCAAGCACCUGUGCUUCUUCUGAUACAGCGUCCUAAAUCCUGGCUCACCCCUUAGCAUUUUCUUGCGUCAACGCUGCGUAUUGCCAGGACGCAGACAUUUGCAGUCAAAGGCAACACAGUGCAAUGAAAUGAGCUAUUAAAAACAAGGGAAAUACACAGAGGACUUGCGUUCUAGCUCAGUAAUUUGUCAAACACCCGCACCUGAACGCGACCAUAUUCUAUAAAAGCAAAGAUGAGUGGCAAUGAACAAUAGCGAGCAGCUUAUGCAGGCCAACACAUGUUACUGCUAGCUUUACCUUCAUACAUCUUAAAAGAUGCAUACCAGUUGUGGUAAUGAUCUCAAAAUGGGUUCGAAGAGAAUCCAAUGAAAUCAACACCAAAAAAUAUGUGCUAAAUGGCUCCGGAAGAAAAUGCGUAAUAACUGAGAAAUGAGAAAAUUAAGCAUGGAAUUCCAUUGAAUGUCGGGUAGUGUUUUUAAGCAAUAUUGAUUCUUUGUCCCACAUAUGCUUUUCUGUGUUAUGGAUCAUCAGAAUUAUCAAUUUUGAGUUAAGAUAUCUUGAUUUUAGAAAGAUAAGUGUACCGGAUCAAGAUGUAUGAUAAAAGUUUCAAAUUAACCUCGAUUUAAAAGACUUUCUCACGAAAUAAUUGUUUGCAACUGCUGUCUUUUUAUCUUUAAGCUUGCAUCACCUCACUGCAUGCAACUCUAUAUGAGCGCGUACGCAAAAGUGCGAAUUGCAACCAAAUAUUUUGUUGGGCUGCACUUUGCUAAUUUCUGUAAUACAGCAAUAUGCAGCCUAUUAAAGAUGCAAAGGUGUGAACCAGGCUUUACCAUCUGUGAUGCUGUCAACGUCAAGGGGAUCCAGAGGUCUGAUAUCAUGCUGCGUCCGAAGUGUGUAGCCUUCUCUCCUGAUGGAAGCUG